rnacentral:rRNA from 1 species
GCUUUAUAUUGAAGUAUUUAUUAUAAAUUUAGAAGAAUUUUUUUAAUAGGUAUUGAAGUAUUUUGUUGGGGUGACAGGAAGAUAAACAAAACUCUUUUUAGUUUAAUUACAUUGAUUUAUGAAUUGUUGAUCCAUUUUUAGUGAUUAUAAGACUAAGU